GGCGAAAUCCCGACCCACCCGCUCUCGCCUCCCUCCCGUGCGGUGGAUGCAGGACGAAGGCAGCCGGGGAAGCCUCUCCGCGAGGCUAAAACGGCUCGGGAUGCCCUCGGCGAGAUCCUUGUCUUUCGGCACCUUCCCCACCCCCCACUAUCCCGGCCUUCUUGCCCAGAGUUUUCCCUUCCUUUUGACUGAGCCUCCGAUCUUUGCGCCAACAACUGAAACUACCGUGCGCUACUAGGACUGUCCUAGGCUCAGGAGUAAGUCCCAUUGAGUUCAGUCGGACUUACUCUCAGGUAAGUAGGCGUAGGAUUGCACCGUCAGUUCCAGAGCCAGGUAGAAAUUGGGAGGCGAGGUUGUGCUCGUGGCGCGCCAGCUUAAAAAAAAAAGCAAAAAAGGCGAAAGAGGAGUCCGAAUGGAGUUUGCACAUAUCACGGAGUAACCUGUGGCGUCGCAUCGCGCACCGAUUUCAUUCUAUAAGAAAGUACGCGCCGCGGAGUUUGCACCAUUGUGAUUGGGACAGCGGCGCUGGGCGGGAUAGGUUUAAAAUUCCCUAAACGAAACCCCCUCUCCCCCAGUUGCUGUUAGCGCUCAGUGGGGUGGGGGGUAUAUGAUAUUGGUGCGUGGUCUCAAGGACUCAGGCCCAAUCCUGUAAAUUUUUACACAGAAGUAUGUCUCGCUGGUUUCAAUGGAAUUUACUUUCUGGUAAUCGACCAUCAGAUUGUUUUAUCCUAGACUGAAACCCUAUGCACUCUUACCUGGACGUCUAGUAAAUAUACAUGAAGCCCCUGUCCAGAUAUAAGUUUAGACCACAGUGAACCCCUCUCCCCUUUUCAGUGUGCUGGAUUUGGCUCAUAUCCCAUGCCUGAAAUUUACUUUUUUAAAAGCUAUCCGCGCUCACGUCCAGAUAACAUGAAUGGCAUCCCAUCUAGGUUAUUCCUAGUGCCUGAGAUUUGUCUUCAGUAGUGAAUCCCUCUCUGCCACAGUGUUGAGGCAGGUGCAGAGGUGAGAUGAAUUUAAAAAAAGGCCCACAGCUUAGUCAUAUUCAUUAACAGUUUGCACAUGGCAAUUGGCAUUUGUUUGUUACUUCAAUUUGCAUAUUGUUUGUUAUUAAAGUUUAGUGGAUCAUCACACGCUUCCGAGUUGGCGGUGGGGGAGAGAGAUUUAUAGUUUAUAGGCAGCAGACCAGUUCUUUUCUUCCACGCCAGGGGCUGUCUCCUUGCUGAAAUGCUGGAAUAAAUAUAAAGAAGGCUGAAUGAGAAUGUAGUUGUUACAUCAGGAAGUACGGGACUGGCCUGAGGCAGAAGUUUCCUGCUAAGAUGCACGCCACUCCCCGUUUUCAUAAGCUGUUUUUGAAGUUUCUGGAAUGGAAAAGGAGAUUUGAUUCCAGCCCUGUGGUUGUGAUGUAACCCACAGGCGAGGAAGUCAAGACAUCUGCUACUCCCUUCGUUAAGUACUUAAUCAUUGCCUCCUAUUUUGUUUUUUGUAAAGGUCACAAUAAACGUUUCAGACAUAACAGCCAUUCCUUGUCCAUCUUCAGAUCCUUCCCAUGUGCAAGACAAACACAUGUUCAAUUUCUAGCAAAAAGGGGGGGGCAGGUUGGUUGAUGAACUUUAGAGCACCCAGAACAAGAUGGUUUUGCAGGAUCAGAGAUGAUUGCUUGAAAAAUCUUGGCCACUCUCCACUCCCUGAUGCCGCUAGACACAUAAAUAAAUACUGUACAUUUCAAAACAUGCAGGUGGGGUUGGCCUCAUUUCCAGGCAUAUUUAGUAGUCCUAUUAAUUUCAUAUAUGUGUGCUCUCAGGUGAAUGUGUAUUGGACUACAGCCAUAAUUAUC